CUGGAGGUAUCAGAAGUGCGAAUGCUGACAUAAGUAACGAUAAAGCGGGUGAAAAGCCCGCUCGCCGGAAGACCAAGGGUUCCUGUCCAACGUUAAUCGGGGCAGGGUGAGUCGACCCCUAAGGCGAGGCCGAAAGGCGUAGUCGAUGGGAAACAGGUUAAUAUUCCUGUACUUGGUGUUACUGCGAAGGGGGGACGGAGAAGGCUAUGUUGGCCGGGCGACGGUUGUCCCGGUUUAAGCGUGUAGGCUGGUUUUCCAGGCAAAUCC
rnacentral:rRNA from 1 species